AGCCCGUCAGCGCCGAUGGUACUGCGUAAAAGUGGGAGAGUAGGUCGCUGCCAAUU
rnacentral:rRNA from 1 species